UAGGGAAUCUUCCACAAUGGACGCAAGUCUGAUGGAGCAACGCCGCGUGAGUGAAGAAGGCUUUCGGGUCGUAAAACUCUGUUGUUGGAGAAGAAUGGUCGGCAGAGUAACUGUUGUCGGCGUGACGGUAUCCAACCAGAAAGCCACGGCUAACUACGUGCCAGCAGCCGCGGUAAUACGUAGGUGGCAAGCGUUAUCCGGAUUUAUUGGGCGUAAAGCGAGCGCAGGCGGUUUUUUAAGUCUGAUGUGAAAGCCCUCGGCUUAACCGAGGAAGCGCAUCGGAAACUGGGAAACUUGAGUGCAGAAGAGGACAGUGGAACUCCAUGUGUAGCGGUGAAAUGCGUAGAUAUAUGGAAGAACACCAGUGGCGAAGGCGGCUGUCUGGUCUGUAACUGACGCUGAGGCUCGAAAGCAUGGGUAGCGAACAGGAUUAGAUACCCUGGUAGUCCAUGCCGUAAACGAUGAAUGCUAGGUGUUGGAGGGUUUCCGCCCUUCAGUGCCGCAGCUAACGCAUUAAGCAUUCCGCCUGGGGAGUACGACCGCAAGGUU
rnacentral:rRNA from 1 species